rnacentral:piRNA from 1 species
UGCUCUUUUGGAUUGGCAAACAGCAAUAUA